UACAGAGGAUGCAAGCGUUAUCCGGAAUUAUUGGGCGUAAAGCGUCUGUAGGUGGCUUUUUAAGUCCGCCGUCAAAUCCCAGGGCUCAACUCUGGACAGGCGGUGGAAACUACCAAGCUGGAGUACGGUAGGGGCAGAGGGAAUUUCCGGUGGAGCGGUGAAAUGCGCAGAGAUCGGAAAGAACACCAACGGCGAAAGCACGCUGCUGGGCCGACACUGACGCUGAGGAGCGAAAGCUAGGGGAGCAAACGGG
rnacentral:rRNA from 1 species